AGUGAACGCUGGCGGUAGGCCUAACACAUGCAAGUCGAACGGCAGCACAGUAAGAGCUUGCUCUUACGGGUGGCGAGUGGCGGACGGGUGAGGAAUACAUCGGAAUCUACUUUUUCGUGGGGGAUAACGUAGGGAAACUUACGCUAAUACCGCAUACGACCUACGGGUGAAAGCAAGGGACCUUCGGACCUUGCGCGAUUGAAUGAGCCGAUGUCGGAUUAGCUAGUUGGCGGGGUAAAGGCCCACCAAGGCGACGAUCCGUAGCUGGUCUGAGAGGAUGAUCGGCCACACUGGAACUGAGACACGGUCCAGACUCCUACGGGAGGCAGCAGUGGGGAAUAUUGGACAAUGGGCGCAAGCCUGAUCCAGCCAUACCGCGUGAGUGAAGAAGGCCUUCGGGUUGUAAAGCCCUUUUGUUGGGAAAGAAAAGCAGCAGGUUAAUACCCCGCUGUUCUGACGGUACCCAAAGAAUAAGCACCGGCUAACUUCGUG
rnacentral:rRNA from 1 species